rnacentral:rRNA from 1 species
UACGUAGGGUCCGAGCGUUGUCCGGAAUUACUGGGCGUAAAGAGCUCGUAGGUGGUUUGUCGCGUUGUUCGUGAAAACUCACAGCUCAACUGUGGGCGUGCGGGCGAUACGGGCAGACUUGAGUACUGCAGGGGAGACUGGAAUUCCUGGUGUAGCGGUGGAAUGCGCAGAUAUCAGGAGGAACACCGGUGGCGAAGGCGGGUCUCUGGGCAGUAACUGACGCUGGAGGAAGCGAAAGCGUGGGGAGCGAACAGG